AAUUUUAGACAAUGGGCGAAAGCCUGAUCCAGCAAUGCCGCGGGCAGGAUGAAGGCCUUCGGGUUGUAAACUGCUGUUGUACGGAAAGAAAAGAGUCGGGUUAAUACCUCAGUUUCAUGACCGUACCGAUAUAAUAAGCACCGGGUAAUUACGUGACAUCAGCCGCGGUAAUACGUAGGGUGGAAGCGUUAAUCCGAAUUACUGGGCGUAAAGCGUGCGCAGGCGGUUUUGUAAGACAGAGGUGAAAUCCCCGGGCUCAACCUGGGAACUGCCUUUGUGACUGCAAGGCUAGAGUACGGCAGAGGGGGGUGGAAUUCCGCGUGUAGCAGUGAAAUGCGUAGAUAUGCGGAGGAACACCGAUGGCGAAGGCAACCCCCUGGGCCUGUACUGACGCUCAUGCACGAAAGCGUGGGGAGCAAACA
rnacentral:rRNA from 1 species